rnacentral:rRNA from 1 species
AGUGAACGCUGGCGGUAGGCCUAACACAUGCAAGUCGAACGGCAGCACAGUAAGAGCUUGCUCUUACGGGUGGCGAGUGGCGGACGGGUGAGGAAUACAUCGGAAUCUACUUUUUCGUGGGGGAUAACGUAGGGAAACUUACGCUAAUACCGCAUACGACCUACGGGUGAAAGCAGGGGAUCUUCGGACCUUGCGCGAUUGAAUGAGCCGAUGUCGGAUUAGCUAGUUGGCGGGGUAAAGGCCCACCAAGGCGACGAUCCGUAGCUGGUCUGAGAGGAUGGUCAGCCACCCUGGAACUGGAACACGGUCCAGACUCCUACGGGAGGCAGCAGUGGGGAAUAUUGGACAAUGGGCGCAAGCCUGAUCCAGCCAUACCGCGUGGGUGAAGAAGGCCUUCGGGUUGUAAAGCCCUUUUGUUGGGAAAGAAAAGCAGCAGGUUAAUACCCCGCUGUUCUGACGGUACCCAAAGAAUAAGCACCGGCUAACUUCGUG